GCAGGACAAUAGUCACAGUCACUGCCGCAGAUCCUCUCUUGGAAAAUUACUGCAGUUUCUAUUUCACAUAAAAACAGAAGUGAGAGGUAAAGAAGCGACGAGGACUUGACUUGGCUUUGAUGAGACUUGGACUUGCCCUUCUUUGUCUUUACUUGGGGCUUGAUUUGGACUUGGCUGCUAAGAUUAUGACUGGAAAGGCCCAUACAAAUUUGUUUCUCUGAAAUGAAUCCCACAGGGAUGUUACCACUCCAUGAUUAUCAACCAGAAAAAUUCUGCCCUGAUGAAGAGGCUGUGUUCCGUCUUCAUUACCUCAGUGGUCUUCCUCACUGCAACCUGUGUGUUCUGCUCUCCCUGUGGUCAAUAUGAGUAUCUAACAGACCGGAGCACAUGCUGCCCCAUGUGUGACUCUGGCUUCUAUGUGGUCAGUCACUGUUCAGAACUGAACCGUACAACAUGUGAGCCUUGUCCUGCGUCGUCUUUCACUGAUGAACACAGUGGGCAUCUUCAAUGCAGACCCUGCACAGUUUGUGAUCAAGGGUUGAGAGAGAGGAAGCCAUGCAAAUCCACCUCAGAUACACUCUGUGAACCUCUAGAAGGCACUGACAGGAUAAAACAAGAGGAGAAACUAUCAGUUGGUGUCAUAGUUGCACUGGUUUUACUGGGGAUCUUUUGCUUAGUAUUAGUAUUUUGCGGCUUCGCCAGAGUGUUUGGGCCUGGUUGUGCUCUAGCUGUGUGUGAAUGUCUAUGCGAUCUGAUUACAGAAAUGUUAUAGUAUACAGUAUGGUUAUAGUAUUUUUGUAUGGAAAUGGAGUUAAUUAACCCUUUUAUUUAUUUUGCACCCUUAGGACUGUUGGGGUCAAACUGUCUCUGUACCUUAUUCUGGUAUUUAAAAUCAAUUGAGAAAUAUAAAUGUAUUCAAAAUGUAUUGCCUUCAUCUCAAUUUCCAAAGAAAUUCAGAUAACAUGACAUGAUCAAGGUGAAUUACCUUGGUAGACUCAGCACUGUUUUAACAUAAUAAAUCCUUGGUAUUAGACCUGAAGAUACUCUAUUUGUUACUUUUUUUUAUCUGUGUCUUUUGUUGGUAAAAUGCAGGCUCAUAUUCUACAGAUUAUGUUUAAAUAUCAACAUAGUCUCAAUGGGCUGAUGUCCCAGACAUGGAUUCAUCCAAAAGAUUAAAAUUGCAGUAGGCUUUUUUAAAAGUAUAUUUUGUGGGGCCUUUUGCCUUUAUUCCUAUAGGACAGUAGAGAGAGAGACAGGAAGCAAGCGGGAAACUGGGUCUCCUUGGGCACUCGGAUCCGUAUAUGGCAUGAGCACUUCGACUCGGCGCAGUAAUAUCAUCACUCUUGCACUUGCAGUUUCACUUUGGGGUGAGGAUAUUACUGCGCCGAGUCUAAGUGCUCCCAAGUGUUAUUCCGCCACACAAUAUAGUUAUCCCUCUUACCUGCUUAGAAAUGCACCACGUUUUAUUUUGUAUCACCAUACUUGGCCGUGUGACUACUAGUGUAACUGUAUUUUAAUAGGGAAAACAUGGAGGUGUUUGGUCGCUUCUAACUUCAUCUCUGUUUGGAUCCUAAUGAAUGAACUGGGCUAGCUAAGUGCUAUCAAAGUAGCGCCGCGCACCAGAGCCAGUGAGUGCACGCAUUGAAACGUGAGAGACUGUAUGCAGUGGCUGCACAAAAUAAGGAGGGAAGGAUUUUUGAUUCAGUAGGAGCGUCGUUGGUAGAGCUGGGUGAAAACGUAUUUUUGUUCAUAAGGACAUUCACUGGAAAUCAACAGGGAUGUCCACAUAUAAGUAAGUAUCUAGAGCCUUUCUAAGAUCUAAGCAUAGACAUAGUUUCAAAUAAGAUCUGACCUGUUUCUGACCAGCUUUAUCCUUCCUCUUGUGUUAGCCCAAGUCCAAUUAAAGGUCAACUUAAGAUCUCAAAAUACUCCAACACAUUGAAGAGUUGAAGAGUGUCGUUCAUGCAUGCGUGCACACGUGUGUGUGUGUGUGUGUGUGUGUAAGAGAAUCCCACUUCAUUGAAAGUUUAGUGUCUCAGCAAAAAUAGAAAUGCCUCCAAAACAAUGAGGAUUCGGAGUGUUGUGCAUGCAUGCUAAUGUGUGUGUGUGUGUGUGUGUAUGUAAAAGAGAGAGAGAGAGAGAGAGAGAGAGAGAGAGAGAGAGAGAGAGAGAUAGAGAGAGAGAGAGAAUGAGAGAGAAAGAGGGAAAGAGAAAUGUUGAUGCGGAGCUCCUGUUAACUGUAAUGUUCUCUCCCAAACAUGUUCCGAACAUAAGGGGAAGAUUGUGGUAAUACCUGAGCAGGUCUUCAUCCAU